GUGGGAUGAAAUGGCAAGGCAGAUGGGGAAAAUGUCUGUGGGAACAGGGGAGUAACUGGAAGAUAAGUGAAAAAAACAGGAUCUGACUAUUAAAGACAUCUGGGAGGUUUGUAUGUCUAAAAAAUUUGGGGAUUUACAAUCACAACAUGCUAUAAAACUGGAGUUGCAAAUCAAACUUCUCUUACUUUAUAUGCCUUGCAGGGGGAGUGAGCCAUGUUUUGUGAGUCAAACACAGAACAAAAUAGAAACCCCCAAAACACCCCAAGCACACUGGGAAGUCACCCAGAGAGAAGAGAUUACGUUUAGAAGAGCUUUUGUUCCCAGUGAGCUAAAGAUAUUAAUACGCAUCUGGUAUACAAUGAUAUCAGCAUACUGAAUUGCAGGAAGAGCAGGUUAUUGGGGAGUCAGGAUCUGUUGUUGAGAUUUGUUUGUACUCAGUAUUUAGCAAAAAGAAAAGGAAUAUAAUUAGAAGACUGUGAACUGGGGUAAGAGUUGUUUCUUCUAAAGAAGAAACAAUGAGGAGAGGAUGUCUGCUGAAAUAGUCUCUUCAUGCAGGCAGCUCAGAGAUGUCCACGGAAGGAAAUCUGUUCAGUAGCCCAUAAUCGCUCUGAGUUCCAUGUAGAUGUUGAUCUUUUGUUCAGCUGAUUUCCUUUUGGUAGCUGUUUUCUGCUUUGCAAUCAAGAGAUAGAAUAAACGGGACUCCUGCUUUUCCUUAUUCUUAUCGAACGACAGAGGAAUCUUAAGGCCAGGUGUUGGUGUAUGCUAGUUGCUCUCCAGGGAACAAAAGCAGCAAGCAGGUGGAGACAGAAUGGUUCGCUUCCAAAUGUUUCAGAGUUCUUGGGCUUGGGAUGUGUUACCUCCUAGCUCAGUUCGACGCAAGGUGGUGGCUUGCAAAAGGAAGCCUCCCAUGGCAGCCUUCAGCCAGCAUAGCUUUACCAGGCUCCCGUUGAAAUGAAGUGAGCGUUUAACUCAGAUGAUAACUGUGUGUCUUGUGGGUUCCUUCACAUCUCCAGUCCGGUUACUGGGAAGUUUUCUCCUCCAACCACCCUUUGACUGUCUAUAAAUAAGUGUAACAAAAAGGGUACUGAGUACUAAUUCACAGUGAAUCACAGCUGAACAGUAUGAUCAGGUGAAUCCCAUAAAGAGAACUGACAGUGUAUUCAGAUCGGGUGUUUGCCAUUCAAGGAUCUGCACCUCUUAUGAUCUAUUUGGGCCCAUCUUUCUCUAGCCUUUAGAAAAGACUUCUAGAGUCUUGCUGGUUGUCUUAUUAACAUGUAGAGAUGGCUAACUGGUGAAUCACAGCUUCCUUUAAGUAGCCCCUGACAUCUGUAGCAUUUUGUCAAAGUGUAGAGGGAAAUGAGAUGAAAGGCUUAAAAUGCUGUGUGGCUUUUCCAAUUUUAAGUAAUGUCAGACAUUCUUUGAAGUAAUUUGGCCUCUUGUGAAAAAUGUUCCCUGUGUUCAAGGGCAUCAAAACCAGGCAGCCCUCCUAAAAAUAGUACAUACUUAUUUGUUGAGUUAAAAGUUUCACAGGUAUCCUUUUUAUGCAUCCUACUUUGUUUAUCUGUGAAGGUGCUCAUUUGUUUGUUUUCCUUGCAAGAUUCCUGAGAACGUUCUUAUACUUCCAAACCACAUUUCUCGAAUCUGAGUAUGGGAAGGGGGUAGUACAUAGAUUACUUGCUGAAUAUACUAAAACUCAAUCAUAUUUAACUACUUUAUGAAGUCUGUUUAAGUUUUGUAACAUUUAACUACUUUAAUUCUAGGCUAGAUCCUCUUUUCUGCUAACUUGUUUUCCUAGUGAAAAAAGAGAAAAUAAUAGGUGCAUUAAUUGUUAGUUAAGGUAGCAGGCCAUGGUGAACCUCUUAACAUUCUCCUAUUUUAUGAGCAUAAAACUUCUAUUUUAAUAAUGCCUUGCAAUAAAGGAUCUUUUCAUGGCAGCUAAAUGAUGUACAAUGGUAAUAUUUCUACAAGAAAAUUAGAUUUUGAUAUUGCCUUGGUUUUCAGUGAAACAAAAGAAUUUGUGAAGAACUUGAAAGAGAAUACCACUCAUCAUCAUGGACAGCUGAUGAAGAAGACGGAACCAGGGAAGAGUGGUUGAGAUUCUUUUUUUCUAGUUAAAGGAAGCAGGAGAUGUUCUUGCUCUAGCAAACAGCACUGACAUGAUCAAGAAUCUCUGAAAAUCCCUGGAGAGAUCUCUCCAAGUGAGCAUUGAAUUAACUUCCUUUCCUACUGUUCCACUCUGUACAAAAGAAGUCCUUCCUUCAAAAGUCCUUGGAAUACAAUGCUGUGUUUUGUAAGCAGAGUCCAGAAAAGCACAAACACCUCUAACAAAAGAAUAGUAAAUAAUGGCUAUUUCUACUCUCAUUACCCUGGGCUGCACUUCCUCUGCUAUCAGGUACCAUGCUGAAGUACAGCGCAGGUCACUGUGGCUUAGGCAAAGCUGUGUUGGUCACACGCUUAUGCUUACAUCUGUUUUAUCCAUGCAGUAGUGUUUGAAGAUAAAAUAAAACUGUGAAAGCAUACAGUGUUGUCACAUGUAUGCAUUUUUAAAAUCAAGUUGAGUUUCCCUUAGCGUUAUGUUAUUAGUCAGUGCAGCACUCUACCAGUUCUUGCAGACUGGUGUUUCUAGACAGUUGUUUCAGAAAGAGCAGUACUGGUUGCUACUGCACAGAGACCAUGAACAAGAGAUGUGUGUAAUGUUUAAGUGCUAAAGUUGUAUUUUAUUAAUGAUUUUUCAAGAACAGGCUCACAUACAUCAAAGCAAAGCCUGGGCUUGAUUAUGAUGCUGUUACAAGUCUUACUUUUAAUGAUAUCAUAGUAGCUUUAACAAUAAUAUAAUUAUUAAUAGAAGUAAUUAAUAUGGUGGUAAUGUCUAGGCAUUGCAAGGACCUAGACGUUUCUCCAUGAAAUAAGAAAGCAAGAAGGUAAUCUUGACCCAGAGAACAACUGUUUAGGCAGAAUACCAUGUGUGGGUGGAUGAACAAAAGGUGUGGGAAAAGGUAAGAACAGAAUGAGCCCUUUUUGCAUUGUAUGUUGCUGUUUGCUAGUCUCACUAUUAUGAUUUUGUACUGUCUGUAGGCACUGUGACAGCAGGGAGGCAGGCAUUCUCUUGCUACUUUAUGAUUCAGUAAGAAAAGGAUGAGGUUCCAGAAGUGAAGGAUGUAGAAGAGAUGACUUCAGUUGGUGCACAAGACAUUUAUUUCAAGUAGCCGUUUCAGGGCUAAGACUUUGCCCACCAUCUUCACCCCCUGCAGUACUCUGGUUUCUGAAACUUCAAGCCUGCUGAGCAAGCCUGUUAGGUUUCACAGAAGGAAAAUUCAGAUGUGUAGACUCAGGGGAGCUGGGGAGUCCUCUGCAAAGUGGACUUGAAAAUACUUCUGCAAUUUGCUGAAACAAGUAAACUGAAGUGCAGAAGAGAGGCUGAGACGUGGCAAGGAAUCGGUUAAUCCUGAAAUGUAAAAUAUGUGAAAAAUCUGCACUAUUUUGAUUUUUAGCAUAUAUGGUAUUGCUGGGUUAGGUUUCCUAGGGUUUCAUAUGUACAAAAAAAUCACUCAUCACAAUACUGUGAAAUAAAUGCAUUUACAUGCCA